AUGACGAACGCUGGCGGCGUGCUUAACACAUGCAAGUCGAACGGAAAGGCCCUGCUUUUGUGGGGUGCUCGAGUGGCGAACGGGUGAGUAACACGUGAGUAACCUGCCCUUGACUUUGGGAUAACUUCAGGAAACUGGGGCUAAUACCGGAUAGGAGCUCCUGCUGCAUGGUGGGGGUUGGAAAGUUUCGGCGGUUGGGGAUGGACUCGCGGCUUAUCAGCUUGUUGGUGGGGUAGUGGCUUACCAAGGCUUUGACGGGUAGCCGGCCUGAGAGGGUGACCGGCCACAUUGGGACUGAGAUACGGCCCAGACUCCUACGGGAGGCAGCAGUGGGGAAUAUUGCACAAUGGGCGGAAGCCUGAUGCAGCAACGCCGCGUGCGGGAUGACGGCCUUCGGGUUGUAAACCGCUUUCGCCUGUGACGAAGCGUGAGUGACGGUAAUGGGUAAAGAAGCACCGGCUAACUACGUGCCAGCAGCCGCGGUGAUACGUAGGGUGCGAGCGUUGUCCGGAUUUAUUGGGCGUAAAGGGCUCGUAGGUGGUUGAUCGCGUCGGAAGUGUAAUCUUGGGGCUUAACCCUGAGCGUGCUUUCGAUACGGGUUGACUUGAGGAAGGUAGGGGAGAAUGGAAUUCCUGGUGGAGCGGUGGAAUGCGCAGAUAUCAGGAGGAACACCAGUGGCGAAGGCGGUUCCCUGGGCCUUUCCUGACGCUGAGGAGCGAAAGCGUGGGGAGCGAACAGGCUUAGAUACCCUGGUAGUCCACGCUGUAAACGGUGGGUACUAGGUGUGGGGUCCAUUCCACGGGUUCCGUGCCGUAGCUAACGCUUUAAGUACCCCGCCUGGGGAGUACGGCCGCAAGGCUAAAACUCAAAGGAAUUGACGGGGCCCCGCACAAGCGGCGGAGCAUGCGGAUUAAUUCGAUGCAACGCGUAGAACCUUACCUGGGUUUGACAUGGAUCGGGAGUGCUCAGAGAUGGGUGUGCCUCUUUUGGGGUCGGUUCACAGGUGGUGCAUGCCUGUCGUCAGCUCGUGUCGUGAGAUGUUGGGUUAAGUCCCGCAACGAGCGCAACCCUUGUUCACUGUUGCCAGCACGUUAUGGUGGGGACUCAGUGGAGACCGCCGGGGUCAACUCGGAGGAAGGUGGGGAUGACGUCAAGUCCUCAUGCCCCUUAUGUCCAGGGCUUCACGCAUGCUACAAUGGCUGGUACAGAGAGUGGCGAGCCUGUGAGGGUGAGCGAAUCUCGGAAAGCCGGUCUCAGUUCGGAUUGGGGUCUGCAACUCGACCUCAUGAAGUCGGAGUCGCUAGUAAUCGCAGAUCAGCAACGCUGCGGUGAAUACGUUCCCGGGGCUUGUACACACCGCCCGUCAAGUCAUGAAAGUUGGUAACACCCGAAGCCGGUGGCCUAACCGUUGUGGGGGAGCCGUCGAAG
rnacentral:rRNA from 1 species